AUGUCACGAUCGGUUUGCGUGUAGAUCAGCAUGAAGUAGAACACAUCUGAAAGAUGUGUGGGCUGCCUGCACUCAACGUUGCGAUAAUUCAGUAGAGUGUAACCUCAAUCGGUUUUUGCAGCUUCUGGGUGUCGUGUCGAACGAUCGCAGAACGAUUUUUUGUUCUUUUCCAACUCGAUUUUUAACUCCCUAGACUAGUAGGAUGUUCCAACGGGUGAAGCAACAGUGCUGACGGCAGAGUUUCAGUGUCAAUUUUUCAUGCCAUGAUCACUGGGGCGGAAACCAUUAUGACGUUGCCUUGGACAUCAAACUAAACCAUCUCAUUCUGGCUUUUUUCUAACAUCGAAAUCUCAGAAGGCCAGGACUAAGAUGGACGCAGCCUCCACAUGCAACCUUGCAUUUGAGGAACACCCAUAGAACGGUCAACUUACCCCAUACUCUAACCUGAAUGCAGGGAUCAUAAAACUUUAUCUUUUACCUUAAUUGUUAGAUGGGUGUUGAUACCAAACUUUUUUGUCUCGUCUACCCAGGAGAAAGUCAUGGGUUCUGCUGCUGAGGUUGUCAUAAAGCAUGCUUUUUCCAUUUGUUGCAUUGGGCAAUAUUAUCAAAAGAUUCUGAAAGAAAUAAGAUAAUUUUCAAAGCAUUAACAUGAAUAUGAAAGCAUUAAGUCAUUAAUGAUCAUCUUUUAUUAUUGUUUAUUUAUAGUGUCUUUUAUUCUGCUUACCUGACUCAUGCAGAAUUCUGGCUUGAUGUUUGGUCCACCUGUUAGCUGGCUCUGGUGCUUGGUAGUCUUCUCAAACCUCUGAAUCAAGGCCACCAUGAGAGGCCUUCUGAAGACCAUCAUUACGCUUCAGAUCCAGUUGUCUUAACUAUGAGAUAGAACUGAACUGGAGUCUGUGAACUAAUGCUGUGUUCGAGACAACUGGAACAGCAAACAAAGUUGAGUAUCCGACCUCUCAACUUGUGACUGAUCGAUCAGCACCAACCUCAACGAGAUGCAUCAUUUGACAUUGCAGACAAAUCCUUUCUCUUUUUAAUGCAGCACUUAAGGAUGAACCACCCUGAUCUACUAAGAUGCACAGAUUCAACUCUGGCCCAGCAUCAUCCCCACACCUCAUCUGCCAUCAGUUUAAUUUAAUGUCUGUCAAUUGCAAAUGCUAUUUAUUUCAGUUAUAUUACAACUUAAUGUUAACUUUAAUUGAGACUAGUAUUGUGUAAAGCUGGGGUUUCCAAACUUUUCAUUUCAAAACCUAUUAGACAAGUGUAAUCUAUUCUAGACCCACUAAAAUAUUUUUACAUAUACAUUUUUUUAAUGGGGUAAAACACAUUUGUUCUCUUUCAGUGGAGUCAUUUUAUUUUCAUAAUAUUUCAUAAUGUAAAGCAGUGGUUCUUAACGUUAUUCCUCGAGGCCCACUGCUCUGCACAUUUUGUAUGUCUCUUUUAUCUGACAGACUCAGUUCAGUUCAUUGAGAUCUCUUCUAAUGAGCUGAUGA